GAUGAACGCUGGCGGCGUGCCUAAUACAUGCAAGUCGAGCGAACGGACGAGAAGCUUGCUUUUCUGAUGUUAGCGGCGGACGGGUGAGUAACACGUGGAUAACCUACCUAUAAGACUGGGAUAACUUCGGGAAACCGGAGCUAAUACCGGAUAAUAUUUUGAACCGCAUGGUUCAAAAGUGAAAGACGGUCUUGCUGUCACUUAUAGAUGGAUCCGCGCUGCAUUAGCUAGUUGGUAAGGUAACGGCUUACCAAGGCAACGAUGCAUAGCCGACCUGAGAGGGUGAUCGGCCACACUGGAACUGAGAAACGGUCCAGACUCCUACGGGAGGCAGCAGUAGGGAAUCUUCCGCAAUGGGCGAAAGCCUGACGGAGCAACGCCGCGUGAGUGAUGAAGGUCUUCGGAUCGUAAAACUCUGUUAUUAGGGAAGAACAUAUGUGUAAGUAACUGUGCACAUCUUGACGGUACCUAAUCAGAAAGCCACGGCUAACUACGUG
rnacentral:rRNA from 1 species